GUAGAGCAAGCUGCUAACAAGUAGCAGAGUACAUCAGGUCUGUAAGGUCAUUUGAAAAAACGGAUUUAUGACCAUUAAAAUUCUUCACGUUUCUUUUUAACCUCCAUUAAAAAUCAAGAAGAAGAAGAAAUCAACAUUAAAGGUCUAUAUCAGCCAGAGGAGGAAUGAUUGGCACAGUCUCAUUGGAUAGGUGGUCAGUUGGUGAAUUCAUUGCUCCGUCAAGUACAACAAGUCGUCCACUGAAGCAACUCCAGAACAUCACCCCUUUGCCACACUGUUGAACUCUGCUGAAACCAAUGGGAGUUACAGUCUGAGAUCACCAGCGGGGACUGAGCUGAUGGGAGUUCAGACUAGUUGCUUUUCAUUCACCAGGAGCUCUGUUUUUUCAACAUGCCAGCUAUGACACUCUAUAUAU